GGUCAGGGAUGGGCCCGCGGCCUAUCAGCUUGUUGGUGGGGUAAUGGCCUACCAAGGCGACGACGGGUAGCCGACCUGAGAGGGUGAUCGGCCACACUGGGACUGAGACACGGCCCAGACUCCUACGGGAGGCAGCAGUGGGGAAUAUUGCACAAUGGGCGCAAGCCUGAUGCAGCGACGCCGCGUGAGGGAUGACGGCCUUCGGGUUGUAAACCUCUUUCGCCAGGGACGAAGCGUGAGUGACGGUACCUGGAGAAGAAGCACCGGCCAACUACGUGCCAGCAGCCGCGGUAAUACGUAGGGUGCGAGCGUUGUCCGGAAUUACUGGGCGUAAAGAGCUCGUAGGCGGUUUGUCGCGUCGUCUGUGAAAUUCUGCAACUCAAUUGCAGGCGUGCAGGCGAUACGGGCAGACUUGAGUACUACAGGGGAGACUGGAAUUCCUGGUGUAGCGGUGAAAUGCGCAGAUAUCAGGAGGAACACCGGUGGCGAAGGCGGGUCUCUGGGUAGUAACUGACGCUGAGGAGCGAAAGCGUGGGGAGCGAACAGGAUUAGAUACCCUGGUAGUCCACGCCGUAAACGGUGGGUACUAGGUGUGGGGUCCAUUUCACGGAUUCCGUGCCGUAGCUAACGC
rnacentral:rRNA from 1 species